ensembl:lncRNA
GGGGGCACUUGCUUCCUUUUCUCUAUUAUAACUAGGUGGAAAUAGAUAUGUAAAAUAUGUGUGCUACAUAUACACACAUCCACACAUAUAUUUAAAUGAACUCUAUGUACAUAUCCACAUAUAUAUUUAAACUAAUAUCGUUUACAGAUAACUUUCCUUUCACUUCUGAGCUUAAUGAAGACUUUUCCAAAAGUCAACUUCAGUGACAGGAGACAGGUUCUGCUUCAGCCAGACCAGGAUUUAUGUUUAAAGUAGGUUUGAAAGCACCGAAUGUCUUCAAAACAGACAAAAAAUAAUGAGAACACGUUGGAGUAUAAAUAUUUAACUUUACCUCAGUUGUCAUAAUAGCCCCAGCAAUUCUUGAAACACAACCGGAGGACUGAGGCAUCCCUUCACUGGCAUCAGCCCGGGCUGCCUCCGCCUUGCCCUAGGAGCGCUGGUCCCCUCAAGUCCCCGGGAAGUAGCCCUUCCCGGAGCAUCCCCAAAGAGGAGGAUUGGAGAAGGCGUGACGCGGGGCGGGGGAGCCUAGGGAGAAGUGAGAUCUACGCUCUUUCGGUGGGAUCUGGCUGUGGUCAGAAGACUUUCCGCGUCAGAGCUGCUCGGCCAGCGCGUUUCCCCGGGAAGAGAGGCUGGUGGCGGGUCUGCCGACCCGAGGUUGUCCGGGCUCUCGCUACCUGCGCGCCCUCGUCGUACCGUGGUUAGCAUUCGGGAAGAUGCACUGGGAUGCCAAGAAAGCGCCUCUGUGCACCGAAAAGGUUGAAAAAUAACCCCAGCACUCUCAUUUAAUACCAGUCCCACACCUUGCACUGGCUUGUGAAGCACCCGGGGAAGAUCAAGUGUCAAGGACAGUGGCAGUUUAUUUUGGUGCAUUUCAGUUCUCCUUUCCGUUUCCAGCAAAACUGAGAACACAGUGGAGAAAGAAGGACCUUUGGAGAAAAGACGUGUGUGUGUGUGUGUGUGUGUGUGUGUGCAGAUAGGUAGGUAGAUACGAAGACAACUUUCAAGCACAUUCUCUAUUUAAAAGAAAAAACAAAACCCAGACAGGGGCCGAGAUUUCUUGGCGGUGCAGCGAAGGGUCAUUCAAGACAAGCAACUGUCUGAAUUCCGAAAGCGAUUUCUUGGGACUUGACUGAAAUAGUGGGAGUUCCCGGGAGUUUAAUUUUGCAAGGCUGUAAAAUGUUUUGUACUGGCCUCUUUUCCCAUCAGAUAUCCAUUAAAAAAAAAAAAAAAACUUCUACAGCAUCUAUUAAACAUAUUUCCUUGGACUCGAAAUCUACAGCUCGGCAGAAACAAACAAGUCAUAGCAAAACCCCGGAAAAUAAAGAGAUUUAGAAGAAUACCUGUCCCUUUCUGAGUCAUUUGAUAGUUUAUUCCCUGGAGGCCAAGUGAAGGUGGGGGUUUGAAUUUUAUUUUUCGUAUGUUAUUAUUAUUUUUCUCAUAUAUUCACUUAAAUGUUCAGCUUUGACAAACUAUUCUCCUACCGCGGGGUUCUUUUGCAGAACGGAGGUGGGGGUGGUGAAGCGAAUCAGUCGAGCGGAGCGGGGGUGGGGAGCGCAGAAAAACACGACUUGCUUCGCAGGGGGCUGACGCGCAGCCGUCUACUCCAUUAGCCAGCAGGGGGCGCUCUUAUGUUAUCUCUGGACCAGACAGCCGAGCCGCUGGGCGCUACAAGACAGGCUUUGCAGUUUUACGCAGCUGCAAAAGGAAGGGGGGCGGGGGGAGUGGAGCUCCUAAACCCUCAGCAGCUCUUCCACUUGGGUUAUUUACCCGCUGUUAGGCAAC